UGAGUUUGAUCCUGGCUCAGAAUGAAUGCUAGCGAUAUGCUUAACACAUGCAAGUCGAACAGAAUAUCUUAAAAUUGAUAUUUAGUGGCGUACGGGUGAGUAAAACAUAGGAAUCAAAUUAAUAGUUUGGGAUAUAUAUAUGAUGUUUAACAUCAGAAGAAUUGAUAUGAAUAAUAUCAAUAUCGUAUUAAUACCGAAUAAUAAAUAAAGAUUUAAUUCGCUAUUAAAUGAGCCUAUGUAGGAUUAGGUUGUUGGUAAGGUAAAAGCUUACCAAGCCUAUGAUCCUUAGCUGGUCUGAGAGGAUGAUCAGUCACAUUGGGACUGAAACACGGCCCUAACUCUUACGGGAGGCAGCAGUGGGGAAUAUUGGACAAUGGACGAAAGUCUGAUCCAGCAAUAUCGCGUGAAUGAUGAAGCCUAUAUUGGGUGUAAAAUUCUUUCAAUGUAGAAGAUAAUGACUGUAUACAUAAAGAAGUUCCGGCUAACUCUGUGCCAGCAGCCGCGGUAAUACAGAGGGAACUAGUAUUAUUCGGAAUAACUGGGCGUAAAGGGUAUGUAGGCGGUUAAUAAUGUUGAAAUUGAAAGACCAUAAUUGCUAUUUUGGAAAUGAUUUCAAAACAAAUUAACUUGAGUUUGAUUCAGGAUAACGGAAUUUCUAGUGUAGAAAUAAAAUUCAUAUAUAUUAGAAGGAACACCAUUUGGCGAAAGCAGUUAUCUUGUUCUAAAUACUGACGCUGAGGUACUAAAGUAUGGGUAGCAAACGGGAUUAGAGACCCCAGUAGUCCAUACCGUAAAUGAUGAGUGUUAAAUAUUGGAUUUAUUUUCAGUAUUAAAGUUAACACGUUAAACACUCCGCCUGGGAAGUACGAUCGCAAGAUUAAAACUCAAAGGAAUUGACGGAGACCCACACAAGCGGUGGAGCAUGUGGUUUAAUUCGAUACAGCGCGUAAAACCUUACCAAAAUUUGCAUAUUAGAUUAAGUCUUAAAUGUUAUUAUUUUUGACAAAUUCUAUUACAGGUGUUGCAUGGCUGUCGUCAGCUCGUGUCGUGAGAUGUUUGGUUAGGUCCUGUAACGAGCGCAACCCUUAUUAUUAGUUGCUAUUUUUAUUUAAAAGCACUCUAAUAUUACUGCCUGUGAUAAUCAGGAGGAAGGUGAGGAUGACGUCAAGUCUUCAUGACCCUUAUAUUUUGGGCUACACACGUGCUACAAUGUCUAUUACAAUGGGUAGCAAUUAUUUAAAUUGGCGCAAAUCCCUAAAAGUUGACUCAGUUCAGAUUGUUCUCUGCAACUCGAGAACAUUAAGUUGGAAUCGCUAGUAAUCGUGGAUCAGCACGCCACGGUGAAUAUGUACUUGGGUCUUGUACACACCGCCCGUCACGCCAAGGGAAUUAUUAUUAUCUUAUGUUAGUUUGGUUAAAUUUAUUUUUUAUUUUUAAUAUUUUAAAUUUAUUUUUUUUUAAUAUUUUAAUAAAUUAUACAUUUCCUUCUAAUGACGGUAAUAUAGUAACCGGGGUGAAGUCGUAACAAGGUAGUCGUAGAGGAAUCUGUGGCUG
rnacentral:rRNA from 1 species